AUGAUUCUGGUGAAGUCUCAUAAUUUGAUGUAUAUUGGGUCAUCCCAUAAAUAAUGGGGUCUUUUCAAUUGCAUGAACUAAAUGUCGGUGGGAGACAAGAUAAACUACCUGCAACAAUUUGCUAUAGAAGCAGGUAGUAAUUUUAC